rnacentral:rRNA from 1 species
AUUGAACGCUGGCGGCAGGCCUAACACAUGCAAGUCGAACGAGUGGCGGACGGGUGAGUAAUGUCCGGGAAACUGCCCGAUGGAGGGGGAUAACUACUGGAAACGGUAGCUAAUACCGCAUACCAUCGGAUGUGCCCAGAUGGGAUUAGCUUGUUGGUGGGGUAAUGGCUAACAAAGGCGACGAUCCCUAGCUGGUUUGAGAGGAUGACCAGCCACACUGGAACUGAGACACGGUCCAGACUCCUACGGGAGGCAGCAGUGGGGAAUGUUGCACAAUGGGCGCAAGCCUGAUGCAGCCAUGCCGCGUGUAUGAAGAAGGCCUUCGGGUUGUAAAGUACUUUCAGCAGGGAGGCGUUACCCGCAGAAGAAGCACCGGCUAACUCCGUGCCAGCAGCCGCGGUAAUAC